ensembl:misc_RNA Metazoa_SRP Metazoan signal recognition particle RNA
GCUGGAUGUGGUGCUGCACACUUGUAGUCCCAUCUUCUCUAGAGGCUGAGGCAAUAAGAUUGUUUGAGUCCAGGAGUUCUGCAUGGUAGUGGGCUAUGCGGCUCGGGUGUCUGCACUAAGUUUAGCAUCAGCAUGGUGACCUCCCACGAGCCAGGCACCACCAGGUUGCCUAAGGAGGGUUGAACUGGCCCAAGUUGGAAAUGGAGCAGGUCAGAACUCAGUAGUGGGAUAGCACCUGUGAAUAGCCACUGCACUCCAGCCUGGGUUACAUAGUGAGACCUUAUCUCA